UACGUAGGGGGCUAGCGUUGUCCGGAAUCAUUGGGCGUAAAGCGCGUGUAGGCGGCCCGAUAAGUCCGCUGUGAAAGUCCAGGGCUCAACCCUGGGAUGCCGGUGGAUACUGUCGGGCUCGAGUCCGGAAGAGGCGAGUGGAAUUCCUGGUGUAGCGGUGAAAUGCGCAGAUAUCAGGAGGAACACCAAUGGCGAAGGCAGCACUCUGGGACGGUACUGACGCUGAGACGCGAAAGCGUGGGGAGCGAACAGG
rnacentral:rRNA from 1 species